AACGAACGCUGGCGGCAUGCCUAACACAUGCAAGUCGAACGAGACCUUCGGGUCUAGUGGCGCACGGGUGCGUAACGCGUGGGAACCUGCCUUUAGGUUCGGAAUAACUCAGAGAAAUUUGAGCUAAUACCGGAUGAUGUCUUCGGACCAAAGAUUUAUCGCCUUUAGAUGGGCCCGCGUAAGAUUAGCUAGUUGGUGGGGUAAAGCCUACCAAGGCGACGAUCUUUAGCUGGUCUGAGAGGAUGAUCAGCCACACUGGGACUGAGACACGGCCCAGACUCCUACGGGAGGCAGCAGUGGGGAAUAUUGGACAAUGGGCGAAAGCCUGAUCCAGCAAUGCCGCGUGAGUGAUGAAGCCUAGGGUUGUAAAGCUCUUUUACCCGAGAUGAUAAUGACAGUAUCGGGAGAAUAAGCU
rnacentral:rRNA from 1 species